GAAAGACUUAGCAGAAAAACAAAUGGUUAGCAUAUAAUUUCUUUGUUAUUCAAUAUGAUUCUUAUUAUCCACGUCUGAAUGAAUAUGUGAUAUUAUUUCCUUUAUUUUCUACACAUGCCUUCUGCAAUUAUGUCAUAUUAAGUUGCAGUUUUUUUAUGGCGAAGUAGAGGAUGAUCUUAUGGAUGUCGAUAACAAUGGGAUUAUCAUAUAAUACACCGCAUACUCCCUUUUGCAAUUAUGUGAUUCUUUAUUUUCUAUAGACGUCUUCUGCAAUUAUGUUAUACUAAGUGGUAUGUGCAAGUAGCUGAUGAUGAUGAAGGUGACAAAGAGAAAGACUUAUCCGGGAAACAAAUGGGAGGUGAUGGUGAUGUAGGUGGCGAGGAGAGAGAAACUUAGUAGGAAAGCAAUUGGUUGGCAACGAGAGUUAUUCUACAUGGCUGGUACGUGCUUAUGCCGGUAAUUGUAUGCAAAAACGAUGGUUAGUCGAUAAUAAGAUUGUU